GAUACAUGCUUGAUAAACAUACUAGUAUACAUAGUGAUACAUGCUUGAUAAACAUACUAGUAUACAUAGUGAUACAUGCUUGAUAAACAUACUAGUAUACAUAGUGAUACAUGCUUGAUAAACAUACUAGUAUCAAGUUAUACACAAUUGAUAAUGGUACUAGCAUCUGUACUGAAACAUUUAAUUGGUAGGUGGAAAAAGUUGAAAUCCUUAAGUCAAAUCUGUCUUCAUCACUAGCAUACUUGUCAAUUUAAUUUUUGUUAUUUUAAGUUUGUUAAAAUACAAUAUAAAUGGUAAAUCAUCUUGUCUAGUGAUAAUGUAUCUCAGAUUUUACAUUUGACCAAGUUAUCACCUGUUCGUUUAUCUGAAACCCUCUGAUGGGAUACUAUGCAUUUUGUUACUGUGCAAAUACUGACAUUCACCGAUAGCUUCACACUUUAAUUUUUGUCAGCAUUAAUCAACAACACAAACAUGUGUCAGUUCGGCUGUACCUGUUUAUUGUACAUCUUUUGUCAUGACAUACAGGUCCUCAUUCCUCGAUCCUCCAGUAGAUGUCACUUUGAGAAUAGCACAGCGAGAAUAGCAAUGAACAUAAGUAAAACCUAUCAAACUGAUUAUC